ACAUACGACCACACCUAGCAGGAUACUCGGGAACCCGUCCGCUCCCCCUUCGAUAAACUGCUAAGGGCCGGACUCGUUGUUGGGUCGGUGACGACCACCGAAUACCUGGUGUUGUAAGUC
rnacentral:rRNA from 1 species